CACCGCGGUUAUACGAGAGACCCAAGUUGACAGACAUCGGCGUAAAGCGUGGUUAAGACAAAUUGAAGACUAAAGCCGAACCCCCUCAAAGCUGUUAUACGCAUCCGAGGGCAAGAAGCUCAAUCACGAAAGUGGCUUUACCUCCCUGAAUCCACGAAAGCUAUGACA
rnacentral:rRNA from 1 species